AGGUCUUCUACCUGAUUAUAACAACAUAUUUUCCAUUACAUAAAUCACUACGUAUGCACUACAGGAAAUGUACGUAUUGGUAGCAUCAUUUUAUAGCGUUUAUGACAGUUGUGCUAUUGUAUACCAACACUUGCUUUAUUUAUAGCGUUUGUUGAUUUCAAAAGCUAUAUUUGUUACGGCGGGAAAAUAAAAUUUUUUAGCCGCGAAUGUAUACAAUAAGGUAUGUUCUCAUCCAAUCGUUCUUCUUUGUUCUAUCUCUCAUUGAGGAGUAAAAACAACAAUUCUCUCUUGAUUAGGGUUCGUAUCAUCACUCUCUGGCUCCAAAAUCAAUAUCGAAACACUCGGUUUACUCUACGACAAUCUACGACAAUCGCCGGCAGUCGCUACGAGUUGUCGAAUCAAAUGGAGGUGGGGUUAGAUUCGUUUCAGAGACAAGUCGCCGAAAGGUUUAUCGAUCUAAAUUCAGGAGAAGGAUAGUGUGAAUCCAAGCACGGCUGCUUCAAGCACAUAAGCCAUGGAAUUGGAGAAGCCAAAGGAAAAGCAGAACAAGGAAGGAAUUAGUUACAUCGUCAGCCGCGAAGCCGUGGACUCAUCAGCUCGUCUCCAGUAUCCUUCGCUCCUUACCCAAGAUUAUUCUUCAAUUCUCCACUUAUAAUGUAUUGAAGGCCUCAGGAAAGAAGUGUAUUCACAGAACAACGACGAGGUCUUGGGAAAUGGUUUGACGCCAUCUGCAGGCUGCAGCUGAUGUUGUUGUGUAUGCAGAUUUGCAUUCUUCAGUGCCAGGUCUUGAGAAGGUGAAGACAGCGAUGAUGUUGAGAAGGAGAUUUCUCGGCAAGCUUCCAAAGCCCAGUCUGUUUCCCAAUCUCACUCUGUUUCUUAGUUUUCGAUUCUGCUAAGUAGUUAAAAGGUGUUGUGUUGAAUUAGACUGAGGAGUAGCAUAACAAGGCGAGAGUCGUUGUCUUAGUUGAGAUCAGUCCUUGUCAAAUGCUUUUUGUUUCUUAUGGUCUUGUUUUCUUUGUGUUCGUGAAGGGUAUUGUAAGAAUCGAUAACAUCAGUGGAUUGCCUGAUGAACUGUUGGUGAGGAUACUAUCGUUAGUUCCAACAUUCACUGCUUGUACUUAUGGAUUUUAUCAACAAGAAUCUGCCAUUACAUAGAGCUCCUGUCAUAGAAAGCUCACGUCCUUCUUUAUGGGAGUCAAGGGUGAAAAUAUUAAACCUGAAAAUAUCAGAAUGUGGGUUGAUAUUGAUGUAUAUUGCUAUCUACGUAAGCUGGACGUUUCUUAUUCUUCGGUUAAGAAAGAAAACAUGGUUCCCAACAGCUUGUUUACUUGCAAAACGCUUGUGAUCUUGAAACCUUGAACCAAUACAUGUCUUUUCAUAUGUAUAACAUAAUUCUACUUUCAUCUGUU